rnacentral:rRNA from 1 species
UAGGGAAUAUUGCUCAAUGGGGGAAACCCUGAAGCAGCAACGCCGCGUGAGUGAUGAAGGUUUUCGGAUUGUAAAGCUCUGUUGUACGGGGAAAAUGUCAUUUUGGCUAACAUCCAAGAUGAGUGAUUGUACCGUAUAAGAAAGGACCGGCUAACUUCGUGCCAGCAGCCGCGGUAAGACGGGGGGGUUCCUAGCGUUGUUCGGAAUUAUUGGGCGUAAAGCGUGUGCAGGUUGUUUGAAAAGUUGGAUGUGAAAUCCUUGGGCUUAACCCAAGACGUGCAUUCAAAACUGCCAAACUUGAGUAUGGGAGAGGAUCGUGGAAUUCCUAGUGUAGUGGUGAAAUACGUAGAUAUUAGGAGGAACACCGGAGGCGAAGGCGGCGAUCUGGCCCAAUACUGACAC